rnacentral:misc_RNA from 1 species
GUGAAUCAUCAAAUCUUUGAGCGCAAAUUGCACUCUCCUCGGAGAGUAUGCCUGUUUGAGGGUCAGUCUAUAAAUAAUCGACAUCGUUGCUGUUUCGCGGUGGUGUUCGUCGGAAAUUGGGUUAUCUUAAAUCUUUUUGAUUCAAGUGACUUAAAAUUUUCUUUUGGUCCCAUGUACGUUUUUAAGAUUUAUUUCUUUAUACGUUUAAGGUACCGAUUUUUAUUAGUCGUGGCAGCUAUAUCGGAUCGCGUCCAUAAUUUUUCGCUAAUUGACGUCAGACAGGUAAGAGUAACAGUC